CUCCACAAGAUGGAGUGGUAUAUAUUGAUUUCCUCCACAAGAUGGAGUGGUGCUAUUGAUUGGGUGAGGACGAGGGUAAAAGCACGAUGGGUGGUGUCGUGCAACGUAGUUUAAUUGGUCUUACCUUACUGGAGUUCCUUAUUCCGUUUUCCCUUUAUUAGUUGUUGUUUCAUUGGGUUCUCUUAUUUAAAUGCUAUCUAUUCAGUUCCAUCUCUUAAUUGUAGAAGUUAUAGUUGAACUGCUAUUCCCCCCAGCAUGUCCCCUCCCUUUUUAUUGUUUAAAUUCUUGUUUUCCUUUUCUGUUAUCGUAUAUAUCUGUACAGGUUGUUUAUGGUAGGUCCGGUUAGCCUCGUCACUACCUUGCCAAGGUUAGGCCGGACACUUACCAGCACAUGGGGUCGUUUGUGCUAAUACUAUGCUUCUGUGCCUUUUUAUGAACAGGUCAGGACCCAGUCUACGGGCCGCAGCUUUAGACAGGAAGUGAUCCUUCAGUCCAGAGGCUCUGAGGUAGUUAGCUGGCGUUCGGGGGCCCCGAGUCUCGUGUAACUUUCCCUUUCAGUUUGUUAAAUUGUAUCAAACAUACAUGCUAUGUACUUCUUUCAGACUAUUAUUUUUAGCACUCUUUAGUUGUCUGUGAGCAGUGACACCAGAUACUGGGUAGAGAUUGGUUGUUAGUUUUCAGCAUAUUGUUUUCCUUAUUGUUAUUAGACGUCGUCCGCAUGUUUAACUAAUUAUUUUAGCAUUUAAUUUGUUUUAGAUUCAAAUUUUCUGGAAAUGUUUAUAAGGGUUGGCUUGCCUAGCUUCGAUAGUAGGCGCUAUCACGACUCCCGAUGGUGGGUAAAUCCGGGUCGUGACACUUUNNNNNNNNNNNNNNNNNNNNNNNNNNNNNNNNNNNNNNNNNNNNNNNNGGUAAAUCCGGGUCGUGACAAGUUGGUAUCAGAGCACUAGGUUACUUGGGUCUCACAACUCACAGACAAGCUCGGUAGAGUCUGAGGGAUCGGUACCGAGAAGUCUGUAUUUAUCCCUCAGAGGCUACAGAGUUAGGAAAAGUUUCACUUUGUUCAUUCUUGUCGUGUGAUUCUGUUCCCAAAUAUUGAUUUUCGUUCUACUUUGUACUUUCGGUGAUGGCGAGAACACGUGCGUCUUCUUUUUCGCGCAGCAGCUUGAGCCCCUAACAGCAGCUCCCACGAGGGGCAGGGGCCGAGGCCGUGCUAGAGGCCAUGGCAGGGGCAGAGCUCAGCCCAAGGCAGCUGUUCCAGAGGUGGAGCCUCAUAUUGACUUUGAUGAGGAGGUUCCAGCUCCACCAGCUCCAGUAGGCCCAACUCAGGUCCCAGGAGGAAUGAUGUUUUCUUCGGAUCUUCAGGAUGCCCUUGUCCGCAUAGCAGGUUUUAUAGACAGUGUGGCCAGAGCGGGAUUGCUUCUAGUAGCACCAGCCACUUCUCAGGCUGGAGAAGGGCUUCAGACUCCUGCUAUACGUACUCCGGAGCAGGUUCCCUUGGUUCAGCCUGUAGUGGCGGCUCAGACAUGUAUUACAGCUCAGGUCGGAGAUGGGUCAGCCAUGUCUUCGGAUGCUUUGUGGAGACUUGAUCGGUUCUCCAAGCUUUUCACUACCACUUUCAGCGGUGCUUCAUCGGAGGAUCCCCAGGNNNNNNNNNNNNNNNNNNNNNNNNNNNNNNGGGGGCGGCCAUGUCUUCGGAUGCUUUGUGGAGACUUGAUCGGUUCUCCAAGAUUUUCACUACCACUUUCAGCGGUGCUUCGUCGGAGGAUCCCCAGGAUUUUUUGUUUAGUUGUCAUGAGAUCCUCAGGACUGUGGGGAUAGUGGAGACCAAUGGGGUCAAUUUUUGCACUUUCAGACUUGUGGGUUCCGCCAAGACUUGGUGGAGAGAUUAUUGUUUGUCUAGACCAGCAGGGUCCCCAGCUUUGACAUGGGAUCAGGUUGCAGAGUUAUUUUUUGAGAAGUUUCUCCCUGCCACUCACCGGGAGGCACUUCGUAGACAGUUUGAGCAUCUUCAUCAGGGUUCUAUGAAAGUUACACAGUAUGAGACCAGGUUUGUUGACUUAGCACGCCAUGCAGUAGUGAUACUCUCUACUGAUCAAGAGAGGGUCUGGUGGUUCACUGGCGGAUUAAUUCAGCCCAUUCGCCUACAGAUGGCAGUGGGGUUGGCAGUGAUAUUACAUUUCAGGAGGCAGCCAAUACGGCCCGUCGAAUGGAGAUGGCACUAGCUCAAGGAGGUAGUCAGGGUUCUAAAUAAGGCCUAGACAUUCUGGUAGGUUUAGUAGUACCUCAUCUGGAGGUAGAGGUUCCUAUGACAUAAGCCAUCACCCGAGACCUCCAGUCAGCACUUUAGGUUUCUCAUGGUAUCCCAUGCGGUGGUAGUCAUCAGCAGCAUUCUGGCCAGCAGCUCUUCAUCUCACCACCAACCCACAUCAGUGCGCCGCCACUUCAGAGCGUCAGGGAAGGACAUACAGGUCGACAGGCCAGCAGUAUCAGCUGCCGAGGGCAUGUUAUGGUUGUGGUGACCCAUGUCAUAUUGUCAGGUAUUGCCUUCGAGCCUCGAGUAGUUCUUAGCAGCAGGGUCCUCGUCCUACGAUUCAGGCAACAGGUGAUGCACAUGCUGCCUAGCCAGCUAGAGGCAGAGGUAGGGAUCAUUGAGGUGGAGAGAGAGACCGUAGAGGUGGAGUCCAGACAAGCAGAGGUAGGGGUCAGCCCGCAGCAGAUCGUCCCAGAGACGCAGUUCAGGGAGGUGGGGGCCAUCCCCGCUGUUAUGCAUUGCCAUCCAGGCCGGAGGCUGAAUCAUCUGAUGCUGUGAUUACAUGUACUAUACUGGUCUAUGAUAGGGGUUAUUCGGUAUUAUUUGAUCCGGGAUCUACUUAUUCUUAUGUGUCAUCCUAUUUUCGACCAUAUUUGCUUAUGCCUAGUGAGGCAUUGGGUAUUCCGGUAUAUGUGUCCACCCCGGUUGGUGAUUCUAUACUGAUCAACCGAGUGCAUCGUUCUUACGUAGUGGUAUUUGAGGGUCUUGAGACCCGUGUCGAUUUAUUGCUUCUAGACAUGGUGGACUUCGAUGUUAUAUAUGGGGAUGGACUGGUUGUCCCCGUAUCAUGCCAUCUUAGAUUGUCACAGCAAGACCGUGACUUUGGCCUUGCCAGACAUACCUUGACUUGCGUGGAGAGGGACCCCAGGUCAUGCCACCUGUAGUGUUAUUUCGUAUGUCAAGGCUCGACGUAUGGUCGAGAAGGGAUGAUUAGCAUAUUUGGCGUAUGUUCGCGACCCCAACGCAGUGGUUCCAUCUAUCGACUCUGUUCUUAUUGUUCUAGAGUUCCCCGAGGUUUUUCUUUCAGACCUGCCGGGUGUGCCGCCGGACAGGGAUAUUGACUUCUGUAUUGAUUUGGCUCAUGGCACUCAGUAUAUUUAUAUUCCGCCGUAUCGCAUGGCCCUGCCAGAGUUGAAAGAGUUAGAGGAACAGCUUCAGGAUUUUCUUGAUAAGGGUUUCAUUAGACCCAGUGUAUCACUUUGGGGUGCACCAGUGUUGGUUGUGAAGAAGAAGGACGGGUCGAUGAGGAUGUGCAUUGAUUACCGGCAGUUGAACAAGGUGACGAUAAAGAACAUGUAUCCACUCCCGAGGAUUGACGACUUGUUUGAUAAGCUUUAGGGUGCUAAGGUGUUAUCGAAGAUAGAUUUGAGGUGUGGUUAUCAUCAACUGAGGAUUAGGGCGUCUGAUGUCCCUAAGAAAAUAUUUCGUACUCGGUAUGGGCAUUAUGAGAUUUUGGUCAUGUCGUUUGGGUUGACCAAUGCCCCGGAAACAUUCAUGGAGUUGAUAAACCGAGUGUUCAGGCCUUACUUGGAUCUAUUUGUGAUUGUAUUCAUUAAUGAUAUCUUGGUAUACUCCCGCAGUUAGGAGGAGUAUGAGCAGCACCUCAGAGGUUUCUUCAGACUCUGAAGGAUAACAAGUUGUAUGCCAAGUUUUCGAAGUGCGAAUUAUGGUUGAUUUCAGUAGCAUUCCUGGGUCAUGUCGUAUCAAUAGAGGGUAUCCAGGUGGACCCGAAGAAAAUAGAGGCAGUCAAGAACUAGCCUCGACCAGCUUCAACUACAGAGAUUCGGAGCUUCUUGGGGUUAGCUGGUUACUACAGACGUUUUGUGGAGGGGUUUUCAUCCAUCGCAGCCCCGAUGACUAGAUUGACUCAACCAGCUUCAGCUACAGAGAUUCGGAGCUUCCUAGGAUUAGCUCGUUACUACAGACGUUUUGUGGAGGGGUUUUAAUCCAUCGCAGCCCCGAUGACUAGAUUGACUCAGUAGGGUGCCCAGUUCAAGUGGUCAGAUGAGUGCGAGGCGAGCUUCCAGAAGCUCAAGACAGCCAUAACUACGGCACCGGUAUUGGUUUUGCCCACGGGAUCUGGGCUUAUACUGUAUAUUGUGAUGCUUCCCGCAUCAGACUUGGUACAGUAUUUAUGCAUAGCGGCAAGGUCAUAGCAUAUGCUUCGAGGCAAUUGAAGAUCCACGAGAAGAAUUACCCAGUUCAAGUCCGCCAGCAUGGGUAGUCUUGCAUACGUUCCGGUCAGCCAGAGACCUCUUGCCUUGGAUGUUCAGGCCUUGGCCAAUAUAUUUGCGAGAUUGGAUAUUUCUGAGCCCAGCAGAGUGUUAGCUUGCACGGUUUCUCGUUCGUCAUUGAUGGAGCGUAUCCAGGAGCGGCAGUUUGAUGAUCCCCAUAUAUGAGUCCUGAGAGACACAGUGCAGAGGGGAGGUGCCAAGGAGAUGACUUUGGGAGAUGAUGGCAUAUUAAGGUUGCAGGGGCAAGCUUUUAUGCCCAAUAUUGAUGGUAUUCGAGAGUCGAUCUUAGCGGAGGCCCACAGAUCUCGGUAUUCUAUUCAUCCGGGCGCCGCGAAUAUGUAUCAGGAUUUGAAACAGCAUUAUUGGUGGCAUAGAAUGAAGAAAGACAUUGUUGCAUAUGUGGCUCGUUGUCUAAANNNNNNNNNNNNNNNNNNNNNNNNNNNNNNNNNNNNNNNNNNNNNNNNNNNNNNNNNNNNNNNNNNNNNNNNNNNNNNNNNNNNNNNNNNNNNNNNNNNNNNNNNNNNNNNNNNNNNNNNNNNNNNNNNNNNNNNNNNNNNNNNNNUUUCCCCCCCAGAAGGACGAUCAGUCCGAGAGGACCAUUCAGAUUCUUGAGGAUAUGCUUCGAGCCUGCGUUAUUGAUUUUGGAGGCUCGUGAGACCAGUUUUUGCUGUUAGCGGAUUUUUCCUACAACAACAACUACCAGUCUAGUAUUUAGAUAGACAUGUAUGAGGCGUUGUAUGGUAGGCGAUCUCGGUCCCCGGUCGGAUGGUUUGAGCCGGGAGAGGAUCAUUUAUUGGGUACAGAUUUGGUACAGGAGGCCUUGGAUAAGGUCAAGUUCAUUCAGGACAAGACUUCAGUCAGCUCAGUCCAGGCAGAAUAGUGUUGCAGACCGUAAGGUCAGGGAUGUUUCCUUCAUGGUUGGUGAGCGUGUAUUGCUCCGUGUAUCGCCUAUGAUGAUGAGAUUCGGGAAGCAGGUCAAGCUUAGCCCAAGGUAUAUUGGCCCGUUUGAGAUUCUUGACCGUGUGGGAAAGGUGGCUUACAGACUUGCCUUGCCGCCUAGCUUGUCAGGUGUGCAUCCGGUUUUCCAUGUAUCCAUGCUUCAGAGAUAUCACGGUGAUCCCACCCACGUGUUAGAUUUCAGCACUGUCCAAUUGGAUAAGGGUCUGUCAUAUGAGGAGGAGCCGGUGGCUAUUUUUGAACGGCAGUUUUGACAGUUGAGGUCGCGGAGUUUUCCUUCAAUGCGUGUUCAGUGGAGAGCUCAGCCUCCUGGAUCUGUCAUAUGAGGAGGAGCCGGUGGCUAUUUUUGACCGGCAGGUUUGACAAUCGAGGUCGUGGAGUUUUCCUUCAGUGCGUGUUCAGUGGAGAGGUCAGCCUCCCGAGGCAUCAACCUAGGAGUCUGAGUCUGAUAUGCGGAGCCAUUAUCCCCAUCUAUUCCCCGACUCAGGUACUCCUUUCUUUUGUCCGUUCGAGGACUAAAUGUUGUUUUAGAGGUGGAGGAUGUGACGACCCAAAGGGUCAUCACCGUAAUUCUCCCUUUCCUUGAACUUCCAAGGCCUUGAAAACCUCUUAUUAGGUUACCUCGAUUGGCAUGCGCAGUCCGGGCGCGAAGACGAAAUUUUGUUUAUGUGAAAAUAUUGGAAUUCUGUGUUAAAAACUAUGAAUUUUUAUGAUAAUACUGAUAUGGUUGACUUCGAUCAAUAUUUUGGGUAAACGGACCCGGACCCAUGAUUUAACGGUCUCGGAAAAAUCCGUAGGACAAUAUGGGAUUCGGGCGUAUUCCCGGAAUCAAAAUCCGAGGUCCCAGGCCCGAGAAAACAAUUUUUUAGUUUAAUUGAUUUAUGUUAAUGUUCAAGGAAAAUGAAUUACAAAAAAUGAGUAAAAAUGGUAUCGGGCUCGUAAUUUGGUUACGACGCCCGGUACAAGUCAUAAAUAAUUGUUAAGCACUAUCUGUGAAGUUUCAUUUGAAUCAGACGUCGUUUGACGUGUUUUGGAUUAAUAGUGGAAAAUUUUGAAAGUUUUGAUGUUGAAAUGAAAAUCAUGAGUUUUGGAGGUCGAUUCUUUGAUUUAGAUGUUAUUUUGUGAUUUUAUUGCACGAGUAAGUUCGUAGGAUGUUUUUGAGGUUGUGUGCAUGUUUGGUUUGGAGCCCCGAUAGCUCGGGAGAUAUUUGGAGUAGGUGUCGAGUUCAUUUUGCAUGGUUGUAACCUAUUUCUUGUGUAUCAGACCUGCAGGCUUCGCAAUUGCGAAGCCUGGUUUGCAUUUGCGAAAGAGGUCCAGGUCCAGCUAAUCUCGCAAAUACGAGUUCUACUUCGCAAAUGUGAAGUCUCCUCUCUUCCUUCAGUCAUCGCAAAUGCGAUGAUAUUCUUCGCAAUUGCGACCUUUCCCCAUUCCAUCCCAGGUUCGCAUUUGCGAACUCCCAUCUCGCAAAUGCGAGGUCCUCUUCUUUGAUGCCCAGUUCGCAAUUGCGAAUUCGACCCAAGUUCGCAUUUGCGAACUCCCAUCUUGCAAAUGCGAGGUCCACUUCUUUGAUGCCCAGUUCGCAAUUGCGAAUUCGAUAUCGCAAUUGCGAGGUCCGUGUCUGCACAAAAUAUACUUAACCGAUUUUGAAGUUCUUUUUCAUAAUUUCAAAACCCAAAACCCUCAUUGGCAAUUUUCUCUCAACUCUUCUGUCCCCAAAUAAAUUGUUAGUCCAUUUUUACUUGUUUUCUUCAAUCCUUAUCAUCUUCUAUCAUGAUUUCUUCACUAAAUCAAAGCUUUUAUGGGUAAAAAAUGGAGGUUUGGUUAGAAGUUAGAUUUUUCAUAUUUUAAGCUUUUGGACCUCGAUUUGAGGUUCGAUUUCAAUUCUAAUUUUAGAUAUGAGCUCGUGGGGGAAUGGGUAACCCAGUUUUGGUUUGAACCUCGAGUUUUGACCACGUGGUCCUGGGGGAAUUUUGGAAAUUUUGAGUAAAACUUUGGAAAUUUCAUUCUUAUGCAUCUAAAUUGAUUUAACUAGCAUUUGUUGAUACAUUUGAGUAAAUUGUGGUUAGAUUCGACCAGUUUUGAAGCGAAUUCGAGGGGUAAAGCCAUUCUAGAAGCGUGAGUUGAGUUGGAAGCCUUCGAGGUAAGUGCUCGAUCUAACUUUGGCUUGAGGGAAUAAAAUUAGGUUGUUAAUUCCUAUGUGCUAUGUGGAGUCGGUGUAUAGGUAAGGUGACGGCUACCUAUGCGCCCGAGUCGAGCAUGACCGUGUUGUCAUUUGUUAUUAGAAUGGUGGAAGAAGUGAACAAUUGGGAUAAAUUCUCGUUAUAAGAGCUAUGAAGUGAAAGAUGAGAAGUAAAUGAACUAGAGCUGAGUUGUUGGUGUUUUUCCCUUGCCGGGACUUGUUGUUAUAUUGUUUCCCUUGCCGGGACUUGUUGUUGAAUUGUUUCCCUUGCCGGAACUUGUUGUUAAAUUGUUUCCCUUGUCGGGACUUGUUUUUGCAUUGUUCUCCCUUGCCGGGAUGGUUAAUCUUGUUGUUUACUCCUUUUCCCAUUAAUUUUGAUUAUUGUUUGGGUGAGGAGGAGCGAUAAAGCACGAUGGGUGAUGCCGUGUACUUAUUGAUUUCCUCCACAAGAUGGAGUGGUAUAUAUUGAUUUCCUCCCUUGCCGGGAUGGUUAAUCUUGUUGUUUACUCCUUUUCCCAUUAAUUGUGAUUAUUUUUUAGGUGAGGAGGAGCGAUAAUGCACGAUGGGUGAUGCCGUGUACUUAUUGAUUUCCUCCACAAGAUGGAGUGAUAUAUAUAAAUUUUCUCCACAAGAUGGAGUGGUAUUUAUCGAUUUCCUCCACAAGAUGGAGUGGUAUUUAUUGAUUUCCUCCACAAAUUUGAGUGGUAUAUAUAUCGAUUUCCUUCAUAAGAUGGAGUGGUAUUUAUUUAUUUCCUCCACAAGAUGGAGUGGUAUAUAUUGAUUUCCUCCACAAGAUGGAGUGGUGCUAUUGGUUGGGUGAGGACGGGAGUAAAAGCACGAUGGGUGGUGCCGUGCAACGUGGUUUUAUUGGUCUUACCUUACUUGAGUUCCUUAUUCCGUUUUCCCUUUAUUAGUUGUUGUUUCAUUGGAUUCUCUUAUUUACGCAACGUGGUUUUAUUCGUCUUACCAUACUGGUGUUCCUUAUUCCGUUUUCCCUUUAUUAGUUGUGUUUCAUUGGAUUCUAUUAUUUAAAUAAUAUCUAUUUAGUUCCAUCUCUUAAUUGUAGAAUUUAAUAUUGAACUGUUAUUCCCCUCCCGCAUGUCCCCUCCCUUUUUGUUGUUUAAAUUCAUAUUUUACUUUUCUGUUAUCGUAUAUAUCUGUACAUGUUGUUUAUGGUAGGUCCGGUUAUCCUCGUCACUACCUCGCCGAGGUUAGGCCGGACUCUUACCAGCACAUGGAGUCGGUUGUGCCUUUUUGUGCACAGGUCAGGACCCAGUCUACGGACCGCAGCUUUAGACCGGGAGUGAUCCUUCAGUCAAGAGGCUCUGAGGUAGUUCGCAGGCGUUCGCGGGCCCCGAGUCUCAUGUAACUUUCCCUUUCAUUUUGUUAAAUUGUAUCAAAUAGACAUUCUAUGUAUUUCUUUCAGACUAUUAUUUUUAGCACUCUUUAGUUGUCCGUGAGCAGUGACACACUAGAUGCUGGGUAGAGAUUGAUUGUUUGUUUUCCGCAUAUUAUUUUCGUUAUUGUUAUUAGACAUCUUCCGCAUGUUUUAACUAAUUAUUUUAGCAUUUAAUUUGUAUUAUUUAAAUUUUCUUGAAAUGUUUAUAAGGGUUGGCUUGCCUAGAUUCGACAGUAGGCGCCAUCACGACUCCCGAUGUUUAAUAAAUUCAGGUCGUGACAAGUUGGUAUUUGUUGGCUUACCUAGCUUCGACAGUAGGCACCAUCACGAAGGGUUGGCUUGCCUAGUUUCGACAAUAGGCGCCAUCACGACUCCCGAUGAUGGGUAAAUCCGGAUCGUGACAUACAACUACUCCAUUUUUUAUUGUUCUCUUUUUAGUGUGUGUAAAAGAUGUUCUUUUUGGGUGUUGGAGUUCUCAAAAAAUCCCCCUUUAAUUGAAAGAAAGACCUCCUCUUAAUAGGGGAGUGAAGACCUUGAAUUAUUAUUCC
rnacentral:lncRNA from 1 species